UACGGAGGAGGCAAGCGUUAUCCGGAAUUAUUGGGCGUAAAGCGUCCGCAGGCGGCUCUUCAAGUCUGUCGUCAAAGACUGGGGCUUAACCCCGGAAAGGCGGUGGAAACUGAAGCGCUAGAGUGCGGUAGGGGUAGAGGGAAUUCCCGGUGUAGCGGUGAAAUGCGUAGAGAUCGGGAAGAACAUCGGUGGCGAAAGCGCUCUACUGGACCGCAACUGACACUCAGGGACGAAAGCUAGGGGAGCGAAUGGG
rnacentral:rRNA from 1 species